AAUCAACGCUGGCGGCGUGCCUCAGACAUGCAAGUCGAACGAGAAAGUCCCCUUCGGGGGAUAAGUAAAGUGGCGCACGGGUGAGUAACACGUAGGUAAUCUACCUUCGGGUGGGGAAUAACCCAGGGAAACUUGGGCUAACACCGCAUGAUGCAGCGGCACCACAUGGUGACAGUUGUUAAAGCGGGGGAUUUUAGGACCUCGCGCCUGAAGAGGAGCCUGCGGCGGAUUAGCUAGUUGGGAGGUAACGGCUCACCAAGGUCACGAUCCGUAGCCGGCCUGAGAGGGCGGUCGGCCACACUGACACUGACAUACGGGUCAGACUCCUACGGGAGGCAGCAGUCGGGAAUUUUGGGCAAUGGGCGAAAGCCUGACCCAGCAACGCCGCGUGAAGGAUGAAAUCCCUCGGGAUGUAAACUUCGCAAGAAUGGGAAGAAUUAGCGAGCGCUAAUACCGCUCGUGAUGACGGUACCAUUUGUAAGCUCCGGCUAACUCCGU
rnacentral:rRNA from 1 species